rnacentral:rRNA from 1 species
GGUUACCCGCCUUAAAAGGGUGAUCCGGCCCACCUGGGACUGAGACCCGGCCCAGACUCCUACGGGAGGCAGCAGUGGGGAAUUUUGCCCAAUGGGCGGAAGCCUGAUGCAGCAACGCCGCUUGAGGGAUGACGGCCUUCGGGUUGUAAACCUCUUUUAGCAGGGAAGAAGCGAAAGUGACGGUACCUGCAGAAAAAGCGCCGGCUAACUACGUGCCAGCAGCCGCGGUAAUACGUAGGGCGCAAGCGUUAUCCGGAAUUAUUGGGCGUAAAGAGCUCGUAGGCGGUUUGUCGCGUCUGCUGUGAAAUCCCGAGGCUCAACCUCGGGCCUGCAGUGGGUACGGGCAGACUAGAGUGCGGUAGGGGAGAUUGGAAUUCCUGGUGUAGCGGUGGAAUGCGCAGAUAUCAGGAGGAACACCGAUGGCGAAGGCAGAUCUCUGGGCCGUAACUGACGCUGAGGAGCGAAAGGGUGGGGAGCAAACAGGCUUAGAUACCCUGGUAGUCCACCCCGUAAACGUUGGGAACUAGUUGUGGGGUCCAUUCCACGGAUUCCGUGACGCAGCUAACGCAUUAAGUUCCCCGCCUGGGGAGUACGGCCGCAAGGCUAAAACUCAAAGGAAUUGACGGGGACCCGCACAAGCGGCGGAGCAUGCGGAUUAAUUCGAUGCAACGCGAAGAACCUUACCAAGGCUUGACAUAUACGAGAACGGGCCAGAAAUGGUCAACUCUUUGGACACUCGUAAACAGGUGGUGCAUGGUUGUCGUCAGCUCGUGUCGUGAGAUGUUGGGUUAAGUCCCGCAACGAGCGCAACCCUCGUUCUAUGUUGCCAGCACGUAAUGGUGGGAACUCAUGGGAUACUGCCGGGGUCAACUCGGAGGAAGGUGGGGAUGACGUCAAAUCAUCAUGCCCCUUAUGUCUUGGGCUUCACGCAUGCUACAAUGGCCGGUACAAAGGGCUGCAAUACCGCGAGGUGGAGCGAAUCCCAAAAAGCCGGUCCCAGUUCGGAUUGAGGUCUGCAACUCGACCUCAUGAAGUCGGAGUCGCUAGUAAUCGCAGAUCAGCAACGCUGCGGUGAAUACGUUCCCGGGUCUUGUACA